rnacentral:ncRNA from 1 species
GUGAAGGUAGAAGGUUUCCGGGUCAUGAACUUCUUUUCCUGGAGAAUAAGCAAUGACGAUAUCCGGAGAAUAAGCAUCGGCUAACUCUGUGCCAGCAGUCGCGGUAAGACAAAGGAUGC